UCAGAACACGGCUGGUGAGCACACCCACCUCCACCUGCACCCAUCCCCGCUCCCCACACACACCACACACACACUCAUCACACACACACUCAUCACACAACCACACACUCAUCACACACGCUCAUCACACACACCACACACUCAUCACACACAUUUUACACACACCACACACACUCGUCACACACAUGCUCAUCACACACUCAUCACACACCACACGCUCAUAAUACUCAUCACACACAUUCAUUACACACAUACACCACACACAUGCUCAUCACACACAUUCUCAUCACACACACCAUACGCACUCAUCACACACACUCAUCACACACAUGCUCAUCACACAUGCAUCACAUGCUCAUAACACACUCAUCACACACAUGCACCACACACAUGCUCAUCACACACAUAUCACACACAGCACACACACUCAUCACACACGCUCAUCACACACUGAUCACAGACACACGCUCAUCACACACCACACACACAGUCAUACAAACUCAUCACACACACCACACAUAUACUCAUCACUCAUGCUCAUCACACACAUUCAUCAAACACUACACACAUGUUCACACACUCAUCACAUGCACACCACACACUCAUCACACACAUUCAUCACAUACACCAUACACACAUUCAUCACACACGGCACACACAUGCUCAUCACACACACACCAUGCACACUCAUCACACUCACACACACAUCACACACGAUCACAGACACACACACCACACACAUGCA
rnacentral:lncRNA from 10 species